rnacentral:rRNA from 1 species
GAUGAACGCUGGCGGCGUGCCUAACACAUGCAAGUCGAACGGAGACCCGCCUGUAAGACCUUCUGGUCGAGGAGGGGAAGACUGAGUGACGGACGGGUGAGUAACACGUGGGCAACCUGGCUCAUAGAGGGGGAGAACAGAGAGAAGUUUCUGCUAAUCCCGUAGAUGCACACACUGCAGCAUGGCAGAGGGUGAAGAGAGAUGCGCUAUGAGAUGGACCCGCGUCUGAUUAGCUAGUUGGCAGGGUAAGAGCCUAGCACAGCGACGAUCAGUAGGCGAGCUGGGAGGAUGACCGGCCACCUUGGGUAUGAGCCACGGCCCAACGUCCUACAGGAGGGAGGAAUGUGGGAUAUUGCACGAUGGCGGGAAGCCUGAAGCAGCGGCGGCGCGUGACUGCAGAAGGAUUUCAGUAUGUAAAGCCAUACCAGCAGGGCAGUUAAUGACGGUACCUUAAUAAGAAGCCCCGGCUAACUACGUG